AUGCAAACCACUGUUUUUAGUGAUGAUGAUGAUGCUUUAAUCUGGAAACUAGAGUCCAAUGAUGUCUAUUCAGUUAGAUCUAUGUAUGCCAUGGUCAAUUUUAGGGGCAUUAGCCAAGUCCAUAUUCCUGAUAUGUGGAAAAUUCAUGUCCCUCCUAACAUCCAUAUUUUUUUGUGGUUGGUAGCUCACAAUAAGAUGUUAGUGAGGGAUAAUCUUAGUAAGAGACAACAUUCAGAUGACUUAUCUUGCUUGUUCUGCUCUGAAGGUGAAAAUAUCAACCAUUUGUUCUUUGAAUGUGUUGUAGCUCUGGAAAUCUGGAGAAUUAUUCACUCCAUUAUAAACUGCUUCCCUUGCCUAUUCUGA
rnacentral:rRNA from 1 species